ensembl:misc_RNA 7SK 7SK RNA
GGGCAAUCCAUUUGCCCCUUUUAGGGUCCUCCUUGUUCCCUAGCAUCUCUGGAGCUGUGGAUUGUAGUCUGGUUGUCCUUUCCUUUACUUCUAAUAUCCACAACCUUCCCCAAAUAGAGGAACACCAGUUUCCAGUCAACGAUAUACAAGUAGCUGAACUCCCCUUCUAGAACUUCCAAACAAGCUCCAAAGAUGAAAAGUUUAAGGCCUGUGAGGCAGCAAGAAGGCCCAGCCUCUGAUGGACUGACCUGAAUCUCAAACAGCCCUACAAAGAUACAUUUAUUGACUGUUACACAAUGUUGUUUUGG